rnacentral:rRNA from 1 species
AUUGAACGCUGGCGGCAGGCCUAACACAUGCAAGUCGAACGGUAACAGGAAGCAGCUUGCUGCUUUGCUGACGAGUGGCGGACGGGUGAGUAAUGUCUGGGAAACUGCCUGAUGGAGGGGGAUAACUACUGGAAACGGUAGCUAAUACCGCAUAACGUCGCAAGACCAAAGAGGGGGACCUUCGGGCCUCUUGCCAUCGGAUGUGCCCAGAUGGGAUUAGCUAGUAGGUGGGGUAACGGCUCACCUAGGCGACGAUCCCUAGCUGGUCUGAGAGGAUGACCAGCCACACUGGAACUGAGACACGGUCCAGACUCCUACGGGAGGCAGCAGUGGGGAAUAUUGCACAAUGGGCGCAAGCCUGAUGCAGCCAUGCCGCGUGUAUGAAGAAGGCCUUCGGGUCGUAAAGUACUUUCAGCGGGGAGGAAGGGAGUAAAGUUAAUACCUUUGCUCAUUGACGUUACCCGCAGAAGAAGCACCGGCUAACUCCGUG